rnacentral:lncRNA from 1 species
GUGCGGGUAAGUCUUGCAUUACUCGGCGCAUGCUGUAGCAGUCUAUUGCUGAGUGUUUGCUAGUCGGGUGCCAUGGGCACUACUUUUUGAGUAGUUCAGUGAAGGUCGGCCCUUCAUCGUUUUUGCGAGAUCCCUUUUUCCUGAAGUUUGUCAUGGCAGCAACAGUGUUGUCGGGCUUCCUUUUGCGAUUGCGAAUUGCUCGAAAAGUUGUUUCGAGUAUCAUUGUGUUGAGUUCUAUCCUGGUCAUUGUUGUUGUUGGUAUCGCGUCCACGGUUGCGGUGGGAGCCGAACCAUUCUCGCUACUGUUUAAAUUCAACCAUUACCCCCACUGCUCUAAGAGAUUCAUAGAAAGAUAAAAUUGAAAACCCCCAUAUGAGUUUCAUAUGGAAGAUAGCUAAGAGCUUUAAUAAAGAAGAAACAUAGUUUUGAUCCAUUAAAGAAACUAUAACAAAAGAUGAAACUGUAGCUAUCACUUCAUAGAAGCUUCAGUCUUGGCACUUGAUUGCCUUCAGUUUGGCUCACCACCCUGUCUGGGCUUCUUUAUCUUGCUUGCAUUUGUCCCUUCAGUGGAC